rnacentral:rRNA from 1 species
UACGAAGGGGGCUAGCGUUGUUCGGAAUUACUGGGCGUAAAGCGCACGUAGGCGGAUUGUUAAGUUAGGGGUGAAAUCCCGGGGCUCAACCCCGGAACUGCCUUUAAUACUGGCAAUCUCGAGUCCGGAGAGAGGUGAGUGGAAUUCCGAGUGUAGAGGUGAAAUUCGUAGAUAUUCGGAAGAACACCAGUGGCGAGGGCGACUUACUGGACACAUAUUGACGCUGAGGUGCGAAAGCGUGGGGAGCAAACAGG